UGGUGGAGUGAUUUGUCUGGUUGAUUCCGUUAACGAACGAGAUCUUGGCCCUUCAAUGACAGUCGGUUCGACAUGUAGUUCAAUGCGAGAUCUCUGGUCUUCACGUUGGAUGAGAACCGAACUUGUACUCAAGGGGACGAUUCAUGUUUACAAUGAAUGGAAGUGCGAGCCAAUAGCA
rnacentral:rRNA from 1 species